AGAGAAACUACAGCAUGACAGUCAAUAAUCAGAGUUAGAUAUUAAUUUCUAAAUUGUAUACCAGCGUGGAGGUUGACUCACCACUGCUGUCUGAUUUAUUACACAUAAGAACAAUUAAUGACUGAUUAAGGAGUCAGUGACUAUCAGCCAGAGUUCAGAUCUGAGCAGCAGCUGAUCGAAGCAAACAAACCAACAUUUACUCAGAACCUCUGACAGGCUGCAGACUCAGUGUGAUGUAAAGUUUAACCAAAGGAGUUUUUCCAGCUGACUGGAGGACACAGAGACCGAGUAGUAUUCAGUAUUUCAGUAGGAAGAAAGCAACGUUCAGGAAACAUCAGUAUAAUAGAAAUAAUCCUGUACUGUGAUCCCCAACAACCCGGGCUGAGAAACACUGCUCUGAAGGGUUUUAAUCUGACAUGGAAAGGGACACAGGAAGGACAGCUGAUCGUCCUCGAUGUGAAACAACAGCUGCGCAGUGUCGGUACAUCCGAACAUCACACCUGCUGGACAGGUACAGGAUGGCAACAACAAUCCCUCCAUCAGUGCUCAGACUGUCUGCGAUAGGCUGAGGCCUGUUGUAUACAGUCUACAGACAUCACUGGCAACGUCGUCACCUAUGGUCACAAAUCCACCUUCGCUGGACCAGACAGGAUGAAAAUGUGCUCUUCACUGACGAGUGGCGGUUUUGUCUCAUCAGGAGUGAGGAAUUCGGGAAUGAGCGUUACAUCUAGGCCUGUACUCUGGAGCGGGAUCGAUUUGAAGGUGGAGGGUCCGUAAUGGUCUGGUGUGUCACAGCAUCAUUGGACUGAGCUUGUUGUCAUUGCAAUCUCAGUGAUGUGAUUAACAGGGAAGACAUCCUCCUCCCUCAUGUGAGCCAUUCCCCCCAGAAAUGUCUGAAGCUGCAUGUGCCUUGGUGGAAGAGUGAGACAACAUCUCACAGCAAGAACUGGCUAAUCUGAUGCACUGAAGUACUUUAUGCAGCUGGAGGUCCCACCAGAUACUGACUGUUACUUUGUUCAGGGACACAUUUUUCAUUUUCUGUUAGUCACAUGUCUGUGAAACUUAAUUCAGUUUAUGUCUUAGUAGUUGAAUCUUUUCAUGUUCAUAAAAAUAUUUACACAUGUUGAGUUUGCUGAAAAUAAAAGCAGCUGAAAGUGA